CUCCCGCUGACGAGUCCCAAAUAGGAUGAAACACGUGUCUUGGUU
rnacentral:hammerhead_ribozyme from 1 species